UACGAAGGGUACAAGCGUUAAUCGGAAUUACUGGGCGUAAAGGGCGCGUAGGCGGCCUUCUAAGUCAGACGUGAAAUCCCCCGGCUUAACCUGGGAACUGCGUCUGAUACUGGAGGGCUUGAGUGCGGGAGAGGGAUGUGGAAUUCCAGGUGUAGCGGUGAAAUGCGUAGAUAUCUGGAGGAACACCGGUGGCGAAGGCGGCAUCCUGGACCGACACUGACGCUGAGGCGCGAAAGCUAGGGUAGCAAACGGG
rnacentral:rRNA from 1 species